rnacentral:rRNA from 1 species
GACGAACGCUGGCGGCGUGCUUAACACAUGCAAGUCGAACGAAGAGCGAUGGAAGCUUGCUUCUAUCAAUCUUAGUGGCGAACGGGUGAGUAACGCGUAAUCAACCUGCCCUUCAGAGGGGGACAACAGUUGGAAACGACUGCUAAUACCGCAUACGAUUUAAUCUCGGCAUCCAGGAUAGAAGAACGGUCGUCCCUACAUGUAAGCUUUCACUGACGCUGGAGUAUGCGUCUGAUUAGCUAGCUGGAGGGGUAACGGCCCACCCAGGGGAGGAUCGGUAGGCGGUCUGAGAGGAGGAACGGCCACAUUGGGACUGGGACACGGCCCAGACUCCUACGGGGGGCAGCAGUGGGGAAUCUUCCGCAAUGGGCGAAAGGCUGACGGAGCAACGCCGCGUGAGGGAUGACGGCCUUCGGGUUGGAAAGAUCCGUUAAUCGGGACGAAAGGCCUUCUUGCGAAUAGGGAGAAGGAUUGACGGUACCGGAAUAGAAAGCCACGGCUAACUACGUG